UGUGAUACAACAUGACACAAAGUCUGUCUUUAAAACAUGUGUUUGACUUUAAGAGAAGUGUCCUGAUCGAUGGACGAGAUUUGGAAGCAGCUGUUACUUUAAAUCCACUGAGAGGAAAACUUGGUCUGACAGCAGGAGAGACUGUCAGGAUAAAGGAGCUGAUCUGGUGAUGAUAAACAGCAAAGAGGAACAGGAAUUUAUCAAUGAACUGAACAUGAGAGGAGAGUCCUGGAUUGGUCUGGAACGCUAUUCUCAGAAACAUGAAUGGAAAUGGGUGGAUGGAUCACUGCUGACAGAAAUGUUCUGGGCACCAGGAAAGCAGAGUGACAGUUUGGUUUACUAUGCAGCUUGUUGUGACAGUGAUGGGAGAUGGACACAGUCAUAUGAUCCUGAAUCAAAGACCUUCAUCUGUGAGAAAUGAGUUUGGUGCUUUGAUGUAAAUGUUUGAAUAAUCCAACCAAAGACACCUCACUAUGAAAUGUCCUGCAUGAGCCUCAGACUCAGCUCACAGUUGUUACUUGUUCAUUCUGCAUCAUAUAUUGAUUACAUAUAUUGUCCCUCUGUGCUCUGUGCUGUACAGUAAGGUUGGAAGUCAUCCACACAAAAACUUGAAGUACUUCAUUACUCUGUAGUUCCAGCAAAUUGUUCUAAUAAAAGUCAAAGUGCAGCUUGUCUUUA